GCCAGCAAGGCUCAGCUAGGGAGGUGUUUCCUGACAGCAAAACAACAGUUGGUCUUUUUGAUGUGUGGACACUAGACUACCCAAGAUCCAACCUGAUCUAGCUUCCUCAUGUCAAAACCACCAAGGGCCACUCUGGUGUUUUCAGAAAGCUCCAGAGUGAUCUAUGGUUCUUCCUGUGAUAGAUUAAAGGCUGGAAGAAGUGAUUCUGUUGCAAGACUGGCAUUACAUCAUCUGGACUGAUCCCAGCAGGUGAAAGAAAAAGGCCAUGAAGUCCAACUUUUCAACAACUUUGCAACAACAGCAAAUCCCUCAGUUAACCAAAAUGGGAGUAAUACAAGAAACCACAAAAACGAAAAACAUAUCACCCUCUUGUAUAUAUAACAGCAAGACCAAAAAUAAAUAAACACAUAUUUUGAAA